rnacentral:rRNA from 1 species
UGGGGAAUAUUGCACAAUGGGCGAAAGCCUGAUGCAGCGACGCCGCGUGCGGGAUGAAGGCCUUCGGGUUGUAAACCGCUUUUAAUUGGAGCAAGCGAGAGUGAGUGUACCUUUUGAAUAAGCACCGGCUAACUACGUGCCAGCAGCCGCGGUAAUACGUAGGGUGCAAGCGUUAUCCGGAAUUAUUGGGCGUAAAGAGCUCGUAGGCGGUUUGUCACGCCUGGUGUGAAAGUCCAUCGCUUAACGGUGGA